rnacentral:tRNA from 1 species
NNCGCCAUGGUGAAAUUGGUAGACACGCUGCUCUUAGGAAGCAGUGCUCAAGCAUCUCGGUUCGAAUCCGAGUGGCGGCA